rnacentral:misc_RNA from 1 species
GGACAAUGCAUAAAAGUUUGUUCACUCUUUAACCGAGGACGACGUCGAUGUUCGAUGGCUAAGCUGAUGGCACGCCAAUAAUUACCUUAAAAAAUCCAAACCGAGAAGAAGAAUAGCUUUUCAAAGUCACAUCAGCAACCCGAGGCUGAAAUCCAGUUCUUUCAUUGCUUUAUCUGACCCUCUCUACCUUCUGAAGAAACAAAUCCACUUCCAG